CAGAAACCACCCUAGACCACAGAAACCACCCUAGACCACAGAAACCAACCUAGACCACAGAAACCACCCUAGACCACAGAAACCACCCUAGACCACAGAAACCACCCUAGAUAGAGGAUCUCAGACCACAGAAACCACCCUAGAUAGAGGAUCUCAGACCACAUGAGAUUCUGUGAAAGGGACUGAAGAGGAUUUCAAAGCUUCCUUGUGACAGCAGGGUGACAGCAGGGUGACAGCAGGGUGACAGCAGGGUGACAGCAGGGUGACAGCAGGGUGACAGCAAGGUGACAGCAAGGUGACAGCAGGUGACAGCAGGGUGACAGCAGGGUGACAGCAAGGUGACAGCAGGGUGACAGCAGGGUGACAACAAGGUGACAACAAGGUGACAGCAGGGUGACAACAAGGUGACAGCAGGGUGACAACAGGGUGACAGCAGGGUGACAGCAGAGUGACAGCAGGGUGACAGCAGGGUGACAACAAGGUGAAAGCAGGGUGACAGCAGGGUGACAACAAGGUGACAGCAGGGUGACAGCA
ensembl:lncRNA